rnacentral:rRNA from 1 species
GGGUCAGUAGGUUGGUCGUGCCACCGGUACGUACUGGUCUCACUGAUUCCUCCUUCCUGGAGAACCAUAAUGCCAUUAAUUUGGUGUUGCGGGGAAACAGGACUGUUACUUUGAAAAAAUUAGAGUGUUUAAAGCAAGCUAACGCUUGAAUACAUUAGCAUGGAAUAAUGAAAUAGGACGAUCGAUCCUAUUUUGUUGGUUUCUAGGAUUGACGUA